CUACUUUAAAUCCACAUGUACUCUUGUUUCAAUGAAGGAGCAAUUCAGGGUGAAAUUUUGGAAGAAUGUCUUCACUCUCUGUGGGAAAGGGUACCACACAAAUCACCUUGUAAAUCACCUAGAAAAUUGGUAAGUGUGGGAGCACUGUAGCUUUAUUUCUCAUUUACUCAUACUGUAAAGAUACGAGUA
rnacentral:lncRNA from 1 species